UCCCUCCCUGCAGAACGGAAUACUAGACUAAGAAAACUUCUAGCAAUACAUUUUAAUUAAUUUAAGCUUUUUUUAUGUGUUGACCUGGUUUGUAGUGAAAGAAGCAGUGUGUGUUUGUGUGUGUGUUUGUACUCUAACCAUCUGUCUGGCAGGAUUAGGAGGGGAAGUGGAGAGGAUGUGCCUGGCAUUGUUUUGGCAUUGUGUCUAUAUUAUGUUAGUAUUGUAUCAAAUAGGUUGGUAUUGGGUGUGUAUUGUGUUAGUAUUGUAUCAAAUAGGUUGGUAUUGGGUGUGUAUUGUGUUAGUAUUGUAUCAAGUAGGCUGGUAUUGGGUGUGUAUUGUGUUAGUAUUGUAUCAAAUAGGUUGGUAUUGGGUGUGUAUUGUGUUAGUAUUGUAUCAAAUAGGUUGGUAUUGGGUGUGUAUUGUGUGGGCUCUAUGUGUGUUAACUGUGUUCGCAUGAAAGACAACAGAAGUCAUCAUCUCUGAUUAGUAGUUCAUCUGGAGAUGCGUGCCUGCAUGAGUUUCUCUCUGGCCCUGAGUCACUCUGCUGGUGAAAAGACUUCAGUCCAGCUGUUGUUUUUGUGGUGAUUAUAGUGAGAGUUAAACCAGUGAAGUCACACUGUUGUUUAAGAGACAAUAAGCUGUAGUUGUAGGGAGAGUAGGUGGGCAGCAGGUGAGCUGAUGUCACCACCUAGCCAGAAGUCAGAGCAUCAUGUGGGCACACUCCAACCUGCCUCACAACACCACAAGACAUACUGAUGUACCCUAAUAGAUCAAAUUGAUUUGUAAAGCUUAGAAAACAAGCAGUGAACACACUACAAUGCCAUUUUAAACUGUCAAAAUGGAUAAAUCAUGGUUUAUCCCUAUGCCUUUGGCAAGGUGCUUAGUUGCGGUUCAAAUGUGUGUGUCUGUCCUCAGCAAGGUGUUUAGCUGUCUAACCAUUUCCAGAGGAGCAGGCCCUUUAACCACAGUGAAUAGUCUCGGUAAUGUCCCCUACUGUAAAUACUAAUGUCUGGAUGGAACAAGCUGGAUUCUUGGAGCAGAGAGAAAGAAUACUGGUACACAGGAGAGAGGAGAAGCAGGGUAAAGAGAAGGGUUAGGGAGGGUAAAGAGAGGGGUUAGGGAGGGUAAGAGAAGGGUUAGGGAGGGUAAGAGAGGGGUUAGGGAGGGUAAAGAGAGGGGUUAGGGAGGGUAAAGAGAGGGGUUAGGGAGGGUAAAAAGAGGGGUUAGGGAGGGUAAAGAGAGGGGUUAGGGAGGGUAAAGAGAAGGGUUAGGGAGGGUAAAGAGAGGGGUUAGGGAGGGUAAAGAGAAGGGUUAGGGAGGGUAAAGAGAAGGGUUAGGGAGGGUAAGAGGGGUUAGGGAGGGUAAGAGAAGGGUUAGGGAGGGUAGAGAAGAGGGGUUAGGGAGGGUAAAACGGGGGUUAGGGAGGGUAGAGAGAGGGGUUAGGGAGGGUAGAGAGAGGGGUUAGGGAGGGUAGAGAGAGGGGUUAGGGAGGGUAAGAGAGGGGUUAGGGAGGGGAGAGAGAGGGGUUAGGGAGGGUAAGAGAGGGGUUAGGGAGGGUAGAGAGAGGGGCUAGGGAGGGUAGAGAGAGGGGUUAGGGAGGGAGAGAGAGGGGUUAGGGAGGGCAGAGAGAAGGGUUAGGGAGGGUAGAGAGAGGGGUUAGGGAGGGUAGAGAGAGGGGUUAGGGAGGGUAAAGAGAGGGGUUAGGGAGGGUAGAGAGAGGGGUUAGGGAGGGUAGAGAGAGGGGUUAGGGAGGGUAGAGAGAGGGGUUAGGGAGGGUAGAGAGAGGGGUUAGGGAGGGUAGAGAGAGGGGUUAGGGAGGGUAGAGAGAGGGGUUAGAGAGGGGUUAGGGAGGGUAGAGAGAGGGGUUAGGGAGGGUAAAGAGAGGGGUUAGGGAGGGUAGAGAGAGGGGUUAGGGAGGGUGGGGAGAGGGGUUAGGGAGGGUAAAGAGAGGGAUUAGGAGGGUGGAGAGAGGGGUUAGGGAGGGUGGAGAGAGA
ensembl:lncRNA